AGCCACAUUUGCUGCUUUUCUGAGAGAGUGAGAAGCAACCACGUGGCUGACUUCUUUUCAAAGUUCUCUGCCUCAGAGGAGGAAGCCCCAUGGGUGGAGGCCAGGCCUGAGGCCAUCCUGCUCUGGGCCAGAGCAUGCUUGUGUCUGAUGAGCGAGGACACGCCUCGUCUGGCUGAGGCUUCCAUUUCACACUGGCGGUUCGAACCCCCAUCACGGCUUCCUUUUGGGCUCCCCUCCUCAGGGGCCCGGGCCUGAAAUGUGCUUGCCCUUCAUCCCUCAGGAUGUGUCCCUUCCUCAGAGAGGACUAAGUUAGCCCCUCCCCUAGUCUCGAUGUGCUCCGAAGCCCUUCCUAUUCACAGAAACUAUCUGGCCUAUUUAUUUGCUUGCUUGCUUGCUUCUGAUGUCUUCUCUUACUCAAAGGAAUCGAAGGGCCAAGGAAUGUGUUUUUCGUUGAUGUCAACUUGCUGCAAAGGACCACACCUGCUUCUCGACCCGGGAACGUGGGAAAGGGAAAGGCACGGCUUGUUUUGGUGAAGAUGGAGGAGCUGGUAACAGUGGAGGAAUGCCCUUCUUCUGAUUCACAGCGGGGAGGUGCUCUGGGCCCCUGCCACUGCCCGAGGACUUCGGGUAAGUAAGCCCGUGGCCCCCAACCCUUCCCCGCCAGAUGCCCUGGCAGACGGCUUGUCCUGACAAGUACGUGCUUUCUGGAUGGAACAGCCUCCCUUUUGUCCAAACCCUUCCUUUGAAUUUAAAAUGCACAAAGCGCCUUUCGAAGAGGAAAAGAACGGGAUCAGGAAGAGGAGGCUGUAUCUCAUUUGGACACGCAAGCCCUCAGCUCCUGCCCGAGAGUUUCUGUAAUUCGCUCCCACACCACGUCAUGCCUUUUGGCUCCCAGCCAGCUUUCGGUUGUCCUGAUGAGAGGACGUGGCAUUUGAGCAGUAGCUUCUGGAACCCAGAGUGAAGCCCCACCCAGGCACCCUGACAGCACCACGGGAAUGCUCCCGGCACAGCAAGCGGGACUCUGGAGAAGCACAGCCUCCGUGCUCCUUGUAGAUGUUCAGUUCAAACUCCACGGUUUGUGUGACUCACUGAGGGGCUUGGUUUGGCUCUGGCUGACGAGUCUGUCAUCGGUACCAG